AUUUAAUUGGGCACUCUAAGGGGACUGCCGGUGAUAAGCCGAGAGGAAGGUGGGGAUGACGUCAAGUCCUCAUGGCCCUUACGGGCUGGGCUACACACGUGCUACAAUGGUGGUGACAGUGGGCAGCAAGCACGCUAGUGUGAGCUAAUCUCCAAAAGCCAUCUCGGUUCGGAUUGCACUCUGCAACUCGAGUGCAUGAAGUUGGAAUCGCUAGUCAUCGCGGAUCAGCACGCCGCGGUGAAUACGAUCCCGGGCCUUGUACACACGGCCCGU
rnacentral:rRNA from 1 species